CCGAGUUUCAUAACUCUAACCCACUGUAAUCUGUACCUGUUGUUGCUUUGGCAGGCGGUCCCAGGGCGGGACUCUUGCUAUUAUUAUAGCGUCUGCCAGAGGACAAACAAAACUCUUCUACGUGUUACUCUGAGUACAAGACCAAUAUCA
rnacentral:misc_RNA from 1 species